AGAUUGAACGCUGGCGGAAUGCUUUACACAUGCAAGUCGAACGGCAGCACGGGGGGCAACCCUGGUGGCGAGUGGCGAACGGGUGAGUAAUACAUCGGAACGUGCCCAGUCGUGGGGGAUAACUACGCGAAAGCGUAGCUAAUACCACAUACGAUCUACGGAUGAAAGCGGGGGAUCGCAAGACCUCGCGCGAUUGGAGCGGCCGAUGGCAGAUUAGGUAGUUGGUGGGGUAAAGGCUCACCAAGCCGUCGAUCUGUAGCUGGUCUGAGAGGACGACCAGCCACACUGGGACUGAGACACGGCCCAGACUCCUACGGGAGCAGCAGGUGGGAAUUUUGGACAAGUGGGCGCAAGCCUGAUCCAGCCAUUCCGCGUGCAGGAUGGAACGGUCCGUUCGGGUUGUAAACUGUCGUUUUAGUACGGUAAACGAAACGGUCUUUCUACUUAAUACUAGAGACG
rnacentral:rRNA from 1 species